ACAAAAAGAAUAUCAAGGCUAUCAAAAGCAGCACUUUGCAGUAAAUCAUAGUGCUGUUGGAAUGGUGUCCUCUGCUCUGCUUGUGGUUUGGAGUUAUCUUACUAUACUCUUUUGCUUUUGUUUUCAAUCCAUUGUACUUUCUGCAUCAGUGAGUAAGUCUAACUAUGCCUCAACAUAUCAGCACUACAUGGGACAAACAACAAUGUUAGCGUGACCCAGUCUGACUUCAACAAUCAGCAACUGUACAGUAAUAAUCUGCAAAAUGGUGUUCUUCAUAGAGAGAAUAAGCUUUACAACAGUAAAGAGGCUUGGGCUUUGCCAGAAAUUUGGAACAGCUUUCUGUCCAGCAAAAAGUAUUUUUGUAAGAUACCAUUCUUCAAACAGAAUACUUCAAAGGAUAUUUGGGUUUCUUUUUCAUUUGUCCUAA
rnacentral:lncRNA from 1 species